rnacentral:rRNA from 1 species
GAUGAACGCUGGCGGCGUGCCUAACACAUGCAAGUCGAGCGAACCCUUCGGGGUGAGCGGCGGACGGGUGAGUAACGCGUGGGUAACCUGCCCUGUACACACGGAUAACAUACCGAAAGGUAUGCUAAUACGAGAUAAUAUAUUUUAAUCGCAUGGUUAAGAUAUCGAAGCUCCGGCGGUACAGGAUGGACCCGCGUCUGAUUAGCUAGUUGGUGAGGUAAUGGCUCACCAAGGAGACGAUCAGUAGCCGACCUGAGAGGAUGAUCGGCCACACUGGAACUGAGACACGGUCCAGACUCCUACGGGAGGCAGCAGUGGGAAUAUUGCACAAUGGGCGAAAGCCUGAUGCAGCAACGCCGCGUGAGCGAUGAAGGCCUUCGGGUCGUAAAGCUCUGUCCUCAAGGAAGAUAAUGACGGUACUUGAGGAGGAAGCCCCGGCUACUACGUGCCAGCCGCCGCCGUAA